GCUAUUUUUGAUUUUGUAAUUUCAGGUGUUUGUCAGCAAAGGGAAUAAAGAUGUCUUUACAUUGUUACAACUACACAAUAUUUUAAAAAGACUCCUUCUGACUCAAGUGUCUGCUUGCUAUGGGAUCUGGCGUAUCCCCUUGUCUACUCCUGAACAAACCAUUGUACAUCCAGCAUGUACCUGCAAAUGGACAUUUCCUCGUGUGCAAAGCAACUCAAGUGCAAAUGGACUAUGAUAUUGAAGCAGAGUGUCUCAGGGAAGUGGAGCUCUAAGAGGACAAAUACUGUUUUUAAAAUAAUAAGAGGCCACCCAGAGAUGCUUGUGCUGUUCUCAUGUUAUGCUUCACUGUGGAGAGUGUAUAAGAGCAGGAUACUGUCAAAGCUAUUUGGGGGUACAAGCUAUGCAGUUUGAGAAAUAAGAUACAGUGUUGUUUUGGGGUAGAUGGGGGCUGGUUGGGUCUUUUUGCAGAUAGACCAGUAGUUUGGGUAUUCUGGGAGGUAGCCAGAGUAUUGGAGAGACGGUACCAAUAUGCAGUGACUAACUGUAGCCUACUCAGUUUUUAUUAUAGUUAGCUAUUAUAGCAAUAAGUGUGUACAAAUUUAUCUACAGUAUUCUCACAUAGAUGCAUGUAAUACCGAAGUAUUAGGCUUAAAUUGUUAUUAAUAGAGUUACUAUUUUUUGUGCCUUUUAUAUAGCGGUUACCUGUUUUAAAUAUUGUUAAAUAACCAUACUGACUCCAUUUUGUAUCUAUACAGCCAUUCUGAACUAAUACUAAACUGUUGUUUUUAUCAAGCUUAGUUUGCUGAAAUCUGUUCUUGGGACAUAAACAUUUGUAUCUUGUUGCUAACUGUAACCAAACAGCUGCUAGCAUCACCGCAUUUCUUUGUCAUCUUGUUCCAAGGACAAAGAAUGUCUACAGUUUUUUGUCUUUUACACAAACAAUCAUGUCUAAAAGUUCUGUAAUAACUAACUUGCAAUAAGGGUGUGUGUAUGAAGCCUCUCUGUGUCAAUUUACAAUGUAUGUGAUGUAUACUAUAUAACCACAUUGUGGGCGGUCAAUAAACUGAACAGUUGUUAUA